rnacentral:rRNA from 1 species
UACGUAGGGUGCGAGCGUUGUCCGGAAUUAUUGGGCGUAAAGAGCUUGUAGGCGGUUUGUCGCGUCUGCUGUGAAAAUCCGGGGCUCAACCCCGGACUUGCAGUGGGUACGGGCAGACUGGAGUGUGGUAGGGGAGACUGGAAUUCCUGGUGUAGCGGUGGAAUGCGCAGAUAUCAGGAGGAACACCCGUAGCGAAGGCGGCACUCUGGGCCGGUACUGACGCUGAGGAGCGAAAGCGUGGGGAGCAAACAGG